rnacentral:misc_RNA from 1 species
CAUCCAUAUUUUCAAUAAAUAAAAAUAUUCCCAGUCCAGAAACUAAGUUGCGAAAAAUUACUCUGUACAAACGACACUGAUCGUGCCGGCAGACUGCCGGCCGCGGGUUGCCCUGCGCAACAACAACAUAUCGCUUUCAUAUCGCUUUUUCCUGGCAUUCAUGUUUUAGGAGAGAGAUCGCUUGCGUGAGAGAGUACGCGUUCAUUUUAAUUCAGUUCAGUUGACACAAACAUCUGUGUAUAUACGUAUCCGUAAAAGUUGGGCAGAACAAUAUAAAACAUAAAUGAUAGAUUGUCAACCGAAGCCAAACUCUCAAUUUGAAAAUAGCCGUGAUACACCGACCGAGAAGAAAAAAGCGUAAAUAUUUUUUUACAAUGAGGCUUCGCUGUUGUGGAAGUAAAUAAAGUAAAGAACGAGGACCAGGGUGUGUCGUGUGUGCAUUUACACAUACAUAUAAGCAGCGACGAAUUUAAUUAUUGUCAGAGAAAGUGCGAAGACUUUAACCACCUAAAAUAUAUCGAUCUUUAAAUAAAGCAUAUUUUCGGUAUAUAUGUAUGAAUAUCAUACCAUUAGUUUUGGAAAAUACUAAACAAAAAAUAACUUUGGGUUUUCCCGAACAAAAUAAUCUUAAAAAUUAAUCAAACUUUAUUUACUAUUAUUUUAACAUUUCUUGGCUAAUGCUUUGCUUUGCAACUGACUUUUGAUGGCUUAGCUACUUGGAAGCCCAAGUCAUUGGAGGAACCAAGUUUUAAGUGCGUUGUGAUCAAAUGUGAGGCCACUCCGUCACCAUAUCCACACCUCCACUUUUGUAGAUAGGAUCAUCAGGAAGUUGAAGAUGAACCGAAUGAAAAUCGAAUUACCACAGAAUUCAGCCGUAGCUAACAAUGAAUUUGGAAUGAAAAUGCCUUCCAUAGCUAAAUACAUGUGCCUUAUUGCUAGAGAAAAGCCUCCUAAUUCAAAAACCAACCAGAACAACUGUUCGGCCUUACAACAAAAUGUAUGUAUGUACAAAUCAACUUCAUUCAGCAUGACAAACGGAAAAAAAUAUGUGGACUAUCUUCGUUUUGUCAAUUACAACUUCCUUCUCAUUUCUCAUUUGUACAAUAUCAAAAUACCAUUUAAGUUCUUAUCAUUGGAUUUGGUAUUUUCAAUUCCAACUAUGGCAACAACAUCUUGGCAAAGGCGUCCUUUCUUAUGUCCUUUACAGAUAAAUGAAAACUCUUUUCGUUCUUCGGAUAUCAACUGUCAUACUUGUUGUGCUGGUUAUUCAAAAAUCAUAUGCAGACAUUCUCGAAUGCGAUUAUUUCGACACUGUCGAUAUUUCGGCAGCUCAAAAGCUACAGAAUGGAUCGUACUUAUUUGAGGGGUUGCUCGUUCCGGCCAUUUUGACGGGAGAAUAUGACUUCAGGAUUCUCCCGGACGACUCGAAGCAGAAGGUUGCAAGUCACAUAAGAGGAUGUGUGUGCAAGCUGAAGCCCUGUGUCAGAUUUUGCUGCCCUCACGACCACAUUAUGGAUAAUGGUGUAUGCAACGACAACAUGUCCGAGGAGGAGCUGACUGAACUCGAUCCUUUCCUUAACGUGACUCUUGACGACGGGUCGGUGUCCCGCAGACACUUUAAAAACGAACUAAUCGUCCAGUGGGAUCUACCGAUGCCGUGUGACGGAAUGUUCUACCUGGACAACCGAGAAGAGCAGGAUCAGUACACGUUGUUCGAGAACGGAACUUUCUUUCGCCACUUUGACCGCGUGACCCUUAGCAAGAGGGAAUACUGCCUUCAGCAUCUUACCUUCGCAGAUGGCAAUGCAACGUCUAUUCGAAUUGCACCUCACAACUGCUUGAUAGUGCCAUCAAUUACCGGUCAGACGGUUGUGAUGAUCACUUCGCUGAUAUGCAUGGUUCUAACGAUCGCCGUUUACCUCUUCGUCAAGAAACUACAAAACUUGCAUGGAAAAUGCUUCAUCUGCUACAUGGUGUGUCUCUUUAUGGGAUAUCUUUUCCUAUUGUUCGAUUUGUGGCAGAUAUCCAUAAGCUUUUGCAAGCCAGCAGGUGUUCUGGGUUACUUCUUUGUCAUGGCCGCAUUCCUUUGGCUUUCCGUAAUCAGUCUACAUCUCUGGAACACGUUCAGAGGCUCCUCCCACAAAGCGAGUCGAUUCUUCUCUGAGCAUCGGUUUCUGGCCUACAAUACCUAUGCUUGGGGCAUGUCGAUGGUCCUGACCGGAAUCACCGUUCUGGCCGAUAACGUCGUUGAAGACCAGGAUUGGAAUCCUCGUGUGGGCGAGGAGGGACACUGUUGGAUAUAUACUCAAGCCUGGUCAGCCAUGCUCUACUUUUACGGUCCAAUGGUAUUUCUUAUUGCCUUUAACAUAACCAUGUUCAUCCUGACGGCUAGGCGUAUAAUAGGAGUGAAGAAGGACAUCCAGAACUUUGCUCACAGGCAAGAGAGGAAGCAGAAGCUGAACUCCGACAAACAGACGCAAUUACACCUUCUUCCUACGGCUCUUCAUCAUUAUGGGAUUGUCCUGGAGCUUGGAGAUAGGCUCCUACAUUUCGCAAUCCAACCAAACUUGGGCCAACGUCUUUCUGGUGGCUGACUACUUAAAUUGGUCCCAAGGAAUCAUCAUAUUUAUACUGUUCAUUCUGAAGCGUAGCACGUUGAGACUCUUGCAGGAGAGCAUUAGGGGGGAGGGUGAGGAGGUCGACAACAGUGAGGAAGAGAUUUCGCUCGAGAACACGAGGUUUGAUCGAAAUGUCCUAUCAUAG